ACAAGGUACUAACUUCUCUCAUGAGGCUUGAUCGUGAGAGCCUCUUCUUGCAUGAUUGCUUAACAUAUUCAUUACUGAUACAGACAGGUGAUGCAGUAUUCACAGGGGUCGUACGGUUAGCUGGGGACGUACACAUUGAAUUAGAUGGUUCAGUUACCUCCUUUGGUAAAUGAUUUGAAAGUACUUUUACUUCAUGUCCAGUAGAUGGUGAUGAAUGUGCAUUAUUCUUUCUGUCAGGUAAGUUUUCCUUUACUCCCAUUUGAUCAACAGAAUUCUUCUUCCCAUUCUCAAUGAAAAUAGAACUGAGAACAGCAUUGCCUGAACCUGAUUUAUCUACACUUCUCGGUGAUGGUUCUCCUUUGAAAUUUUGGUACAAGGAAGAUGGGUCUGGACAAACAGAAAUGGAGGAUUGUGUUUUUCUCUUUGUGUUUAAAUCAGCAAGACUGGUGGUUUUAGCAUCGCUAUGUGGCCUUUUAUGCAUAUUUGCAGACUUUCCAACAAUUCCUGGCUGAUUAGAUGCCUUGGACUGAGCAUCUAAAUUGACCAGUCCAUUAAGCUGACCUGAUUUUUGUCGACAAGAUCUUC
rnacentral:misc_RNA from 1 species